CACGUAGGGCGCGAGCGUUGUCUGGAAUUAUUGGGCGUAAAGAGCUCGUAGGCGGCCUGUUGCGUCCGCUGUGAAAGCCCGGGGCUUAACCCCGGGUCGGCAGUGGAUACGGGCAGGCUAGAGGUAGGUAGGGGAGAAUGGAAUUCCCGGUGUAGCGGUGAAAUGCGCAGAUAUCGGGAGGAACACCGGUGGCGAAGGCGGUUCUCUGGGCCUUACCUGACGCUGAGGAGCGAAAGCGUGGGGAGCGAACAGG
rnacentral:rRNA from 1 species